rnacentral:rRNA from 1 species
AGCCCAAGGUUUCCUGCUCUACGUUCAUCGGAGCAGGGUGAGUCGGCCCCUAAGGUCAGGCUGAGAAGCGUAGCUGAUGGGAAGCUGGUUAAUAUUCCAGCACCGAUUUCAAGUGCGAAGGGGGGACGGAGUCCUGAAGGUCAUCCGGGUGUUGGACAUCCCGGUUUACGAGCGUAGGAGGUUGACAGGCAAAUCCGUCAACGAAUCUCCAAGGCGAAGGAUCGAGGUUGAGAGAUCAACUGAAGUGACUGAAUGGGCUUCCAGGAAAAGCCUCUAAGCAUCAGCUUGGAAUUGACCGUACCGCAAACCGACACUGGUGGGCGAGCUGAAUAUGCUCAGGCGCUUGAGAGAACUCAGGAGAAGGAACUCGGCAAAUUGACACCGUAACUUCGGGAUAAGGUGUGCCUUUGUAGUGUGAAGAGAGAAACACUCCGAGCAUGAAGAGGCCUCAGAGAAUCGGUGGCUGCAACUGUUUACUAAAAACACAGCACUCUGCAAAGAUGAAAGUCGACGUAUAGGGUGUGAUGCCUGCCCGGUGCUGGAAGAUUAAUUGAUGGGGUGCAAGCUCCUGAUCGAAGUCCCAGUAAACGGCGGCCGUAACUAUAACGGUCCUAAGGUAGCGAAAUUCCUUGUCGGGUAAGUUCCGACCUGCACGAAUGGCAUAAUGAUGGCCACACUGUCUCCUCCCGAGACUCAGUGAAGUUGAAAUGUUUGUGAUGAUGCAAUCUCCCCGCGGCUAGACGGAAAGACCCCAUGAACCUUUACUGCAGCUUUGCAUUGGACUUUGAACCGAUCUGUGUAGGAUAGGUGGGAGGCAGUGAAGCUAGGACGCCAGUCUUAGCGGAGCCAACCUUGAAAUACCACCCUGAUUUGUUUGAGGUUCUAACCUAGGAGCGUAAUCCGCUUCGGGGACCGUGCAUGGUAGGCAGUUUGACUGGGGCGGUCUCCUCCUAAAGGGUAACGGAGGAGUGCGAAGGUACGCUAGGUACGGUCGGAAAUCGUGCUGAUAGUGCAAUGGCAAAAGCGUGCUUGACUGCGAGACCGACAAGUCGAGCAGAUACGAAAGUAGGUCAUAGUGAUCCGGUGGCUCUGCAUGGAAGGGCCAUCGCUCAACGGAUAAAAGGUACUCUGGGGAUAACAGGCUGAUA